UGGGGGAUAUUGCACAAUGGGGGGAACCCUGAUGCAGCGACGCCGCGUGGGUGAAGAAGCGCCUCGGCGCGUAAAGCCCUGUUAGCAGGGAAGAAAAUGACGGUACCUGAAGAAGAAGCCCCGGCUAACUACGUGCC
rnacentral:rRNA from 1 species